AUUGAACGCUGGCGGCAUGCUUUACACAUGCAAGUCGAACGGCAGCGCGGGCUUCGGCCUGGCGGCGAGUGGCGAACGGGUGAGUAAUGCAUCGGAACGUGCCCAGUAGUGGGGGAUAGCCCGGCGAAAGCCGGAUUAAUACCGCAUACGACCUGAGGGUGAAAGCGGGGGACCGAAAGGCCUCGCGCUAUUGGAGCGGCCGAUGUCGGAUUAGCUAGUUGGUGGGGUAAAGGCUUACCAAGGCGACGAUCCGUAGCUGGUCUGAGAGGACGACCAGCCACACUGGGACUGAGACACGGCCCAGACUCCUACGGGAGGCAGCAGUGGGGAAUUUUGGACAAUGGGGGCAACCCUGAUCCAGCCAUGCCGCGUGCGGGAAGAAGGCCUUCGGGUUGUAAACCGCUUUUGUUCGGGAAGAAAUCCUCUGGGCUAAUACCCCGGAGGGAUGACGGUACCGGAAGAAUAAGCACCGGCUAACUACGU
rnacentral:rRNA from 1 species